rnacentral:snRNA from 1 species
GAUAUUGCGCAGUGGCAGUAUCGUAGCCAAUGAGGUUUAUCCGAGGCGCGAUUAUUGCUAAUUGAAAACUUUUUUUUAACAGAGUCUGGCUCUGUUGCCCCAGCUGGAGUACAGUGGCAAAAUCUCUGCUCACUGCCACCUCCG